GCCUUAGUAGAGUUCUGUUUUACGAAAACAGUAGUUGCCUUCUAUGAAAUAGGUCAUUGUCUAAGAGCUGUUGGAGAUGGACAUCUGGACCAGAUCAGUUGUGAAAACUUUACAGAAGGAUGUCCAGCAGAACAUUUUAGAAGUACAGACCUCUAUAAAUAUCCAGCUUGUCAUCAUCUAAACACAGAAAAGGGCUGUUUUGUUGCUGAUCCAUCUUGUUAUGC